AAAGGAUAGUUUAUUAAAAAUAUUAAUUUUGGAGAUUAAUGAUAAAAAGUUUAUUUUUUCCUUUGA
rnacentral:tRNA from 1 species